rnacentral:misc_RNA from 1 species
ACAAACUUGGUCAUUUAGAGGAAGUAAAAGUCGUAACAAGGUUUCCGUAGGUGAACCUGCGGAAGGAUCAUUAACAAAAAAAAUCAUCAAUUUUGAUGAACCAUUUGUGCAAACGUAUAUGGUCUGUUUGAAAGAGUUUUGGGGAAACCCAUAUCUCUUUUAAUUUUUUUAUCCACACCUUUUAAACAAAUGUACAAAUAAAAAUAUUUUUAAAACCAAAUACAACUUUCAACAACGGAUCUCUUGGCUCUCGCAUCGAUGAAGAACGCAGC